rnacentral:sRNA from 1 species
UUCAUGGCAGUCGGCAUGUAAGCGGGCC